UACAGAGGUCUCAAGCGUUAUCCGGAUUCACUGGGUUUAAAGGGUGCGUAGGCGGGUAAGUAAGUCCGUGGUGAAAUCUCUGAGCUUAACUCAGAAACUGCCGUGGAUACUAUUUGCCUUGAAUAUUGUGGAGGUGAGCGGAAUAUGUCAUGUAGCGGUGAAAUGCUUAGAUAUGACAUAGAACACCAAUUGCGAAGGCAGCUCACUACACAAUCAUUGACGCUGAGGCACGAAAGCGUGGGGAUCAAACAGG
rnacentral:rRNA from 1 species